ensembl:lncRNA
UUAAAAUAUAUUUCCCCCCCCUCACGGAGCGUGGUGGCGCAGACGUGGCGGUGGGGGCCCCGCUGGGCGCCGAGGGGCGGCGGGGGCUGGUGUACAUCUACAGCGGGGGGGCCGGGGGGCUGCACCCCCACCCCGCCCAGGUGCUGCGGGGGCACUGGGCCCCCCCCCGACACCCCGACUUCUUCGGAGCCGCCCUGCGCGGGGCCACCGACCUGGAUGGCAACGGCUACCCGGGUAAGGGAUGGGCCACCCCCCCUGGGGACAUUGCGGGGGGGGGGGGGGCACCCCCAGGGGGCUCAGUGACAGGGGACACCCAGCCCCAGAUGUCCCCAUGUCCCCCCAAUGACAGGGGACACCCCGCCUGGCCGUGCCACCCCAAGGUUGGGGACAUCCAGACCCAUCCAUACCACCCCAUGGUGUCCUCAUGGUUGGGGACACUCAGACCCAUGGCAGAGGACACUCACCCUAUGGGUGCCCCGUGGUUGGGGACACCCAACCUGGCCGUGCCACCCCAUGGUUGGGGACAUCCAGACCCAUCCGUGCCACCCAAUGGGUGCUCAAUGGUUGGGUCAUCCAGCCCCAGAUGUCCCCCCCAUGGUUGGGGACACUCAGACCCAUGGCAGGGGACACUCACCCUGUGGGUGCCCCGUGGUUGGGGACACCCAACCUGGCCGUGCCACCCCAUGGUUGGGGAUAUCCAGACCCAUCCGUGCCACCCAAUGGGUGCUCAAUGGUUGGGUCAUCCAGCCCCAGAUGUCCCCCUCAUGGUUGGGGACACUCAGACCCAUCUGUGCCACCUCACAGUGUCCCCAUGGUUGGGAACACUCAGAUCCAUCUGUGCCACCCCAUGGUGUCCCCAUGGUUGGAGACACCCAACCCCAUGGCAGGGGACACUCACCCUAUGGGUGCCCCAUGGUUGGGGACACCCCACCUGGCCGUGCCACCCCAUGGUUGGGGACAUCCAGACCCAUCCGUGCCACCCAAUGGUUGGGUCAUCCAGCCCCAGAUGUCCCCCCCAUGACAGGGGAUGCUCAGACCCAUCUGUGCCACCCCACGGUGUCCCCAUGGUUGGGGACACUCAGACCCAUGGCAGGGGACGCUCACCUUAUGGGUGNUCCAGCCCCAGAUGUCCCCCCCAUGACAGGGGAUGCUCAGACCCAUCUGUGCCACCCCACGGUGUCCCCAUGGUUGGGGACACUCAGACCCAUGGCAGGGGACGCUCACCUUAUGGGUGCCCCAUGGUUGGGGACACUCACCCUAUGGGUGCCCCAUGGUUGUGGACACCCCGCCUGGCCGAGCCACCCCACGGCUGGGGACAUCCAGACCCAUCCGUGCCACCCAAUGGGUGCCCAAUGGUUGGGUCAUCCAGCUCCAGAUGUUCCCCCCAUGGUUGGGGACGCUCAGACCCAUCUGUGCCACCCCAUGGUGUCCCCAUGGUUGGGGACACUCAGAUCCAUCUGUGCCACCCCAUGGUGUCCCCAUGGUUGGGGACACUCAGACCCAUGGCAGAGGACACUCACCCUAUGGGUGCCCCGUAGUUGGGGACACC